rnacentral:rRNA from 1 species
CCACGGGGCGCUGCAGUGGGGAAUAUUGGGCAAUGGGCGAAGGCCUGACCCAGCAACGCCGCGUGAAGGAAGAAGGUUUUCGGAUCGUAAACUUCUAUCCCAGGUGAAGAUAAUGACGGUAGCCUGGAAGGAAGCCCCGGCUAACUACGUGCCAGCAGCCGCGGUAAUACGUAGGGGGCAAGCGUUGUCCGGAAUGAUUGGGCGUAAAGGGCGCGUAGGCGGCCUUCUAAGUCCGAUGUGAAAGUCCUGCUUUUAAGGUGGGAAUUGCAUUGGAAACUGGAGGGCUUGAGUGCAGGAGAGGUAAGUGGAAUUCCCGGUGUAGCGGUGAAAUGCGUAGAGAUCGGGAGGAAUACCAGUGGCGAAGGCGACUUACUGGACUGUAACUGACGCUGAGGCGCGAAAGUGUGGGGAGCAAACAGGAUUAGAUACCCCCGUAGUC